CCGUUAACGAACGAGACCUUCUCCUGCUAAAUAGCCCAGCUGGCUACGGCUGGCUGUUGGCUUCUUAGAGGGACUAUCGACGUUUAGUCGAUGGAAGUUGGAGGCAAUAACAGGUCUGUGAUGCCCUUAGAUGUUCUGGGCCGCACGCGCGCUACACUGACCGAGCCAGCGAGUCUAUCACCUUAUCCGGAAGGAUUGGGUAAUCUUGUGAAACUCGGUCGUGAUGGGGAUAGAGCAUUGCAAUUAUUGCUCUUCAACGAGGAAUUCCUAGUAAGCGUAUGUCAUCAGCAUGCGUUGAUUACGUCCCUGCCCUUUGUACACACCGCCCGUCGCUAAUACCGAUUGAAUGGGUG
rnacentral:rRNA from 1 species